rnacentral:rRNA from 1 species
UACGGGGGGGAGCAAGCGUUGUUCGGAUUUACUGGGCGUAAAGGGCGCGUAGGCGGCGUGACAAGUCACUUGUGAAAUCUCCGGGCUUAACUCGGAACGGUCAAGUGAUACUGUCGGACUAGAGUACAGAAGGGGCAACUGGAAUUCUCGGUGUAGAGGUGAAAUUCGUAGAUAUCGAGAGGAACAUCGGUGGCGAAGGCGGCCUUCUGGACGAUGACUGACGCUGGAGACGCGAAAGCGUGGGGAGCAAACAGG